UAUAAAUGCUCGCGCCGGCGCCUUGUGGUCCUCCCAGUGUCCAGGAAUUCGUGGUGCGGUUCGUAUGCUCAGGUUCCACUGGAUCUGGACGUUGCCGCCGCCUCUCCCGCGAGAAUGACAGGGCUCGGGUGUCCUCUUUUCUCGAAUAAAAUGAUUUAACUUAC